GACGCCGUGGGAUAGCAAACAGAUUACAGUGCUCAUCAAAGCCAGGACACGCAGUAUGAGCGUCAAUCGAAAAACGCCACCCAACGGCCUUCUCAACUUGGUCCAUCACGGCUAGGUAUUAUUAUUAUUAUUGUCACCGGUGUCCGCUCAACCUGGCGUGUGUUAAGGGGGAACGCUCUGAGGUCUGCACCUAGUCAGUCCUAUAUGCUAUAUUCCCACCGUGUCACCUCUACGGGCCCUUUUCCACCCUAGAGUUCCACCUAUCGUUGGUGAGGACGCCACACUGUCGCUGUGGGACACGACCAGUUAUCGCAACCUGCCGGAGUCUGGUGCUCCUGUUACAACUUCAGGCCACGUGCCUGUCGCACCGCCUCCCUACCCUUACACUACUGCACUCUACACAGCACCCUGCGCUUUGUCCUGGCGGAGGGUAGUUAACCCCCUACGACCCGCUUCACCCGCUGGGGGAUUCCGCACCCCUCGUAGAGGUCACCAUCUAAGGCUCGUGCGAGGUUCGGCCUAGCCAUGCUACAGCAGCUUCUUGAUAGGUACUUUGCUUGGACAGCUCCAUUGACCUUGUGCAACCAUUCCUCCUCCUCCUCGGCGCCUAGCCUUCUGGUGACGGACUUGUCAUCACAUACACCACGGGUUGCCCUGAGGAGAGCCUCAGAUGCUGAUACAUUAUCAGUGAACAAGUCUCACAACCCAUGGUGACGCCGGUGGGAUUCGAACCCACAUCUCCCACCGGUUAAGGUGGAGCUUUACCAAUUAAGCUACGGCGCCAUCACGGCUAGGUAAAACAGCACGGACAGCACAUCCAACUGGGCAGAUUACAGGCACUGUUCGGGUUCGUAACCCAGGGAAUGCUUCCCUGACACUGCCCUGGGCAACCCCCCAUUUGUCCCCGUUCCUAGCUUUCUUUUCUGAAUGCAACGGGCACUCCGCCACUAAGUGUUUGUCCUCCCCACAGUGGAGGCAACAGCCAUUUUUCCGGUGGUAAUCAUACUCCGCCCGAGUGCAGUAAAUCUUCGUCAUCCACUCUGCCGGAUUUGGAUCCCGGCCACGCUUGCCUAGCACCAUCAUCCCCGUUCCCCGUUCCCGCAGCAGCGGCCCUGGGCCGACCCUUGUCCCUAUGCUUGCCACCCCGACCCCUGCACCCACGGUUCGACUCACCAGCACCGGAGGCCUGGCGAGCUGUGUUCCGCCCAGCGGCAGCAGUAGCAGCCCGAGGCCUGACCUCCGGUGCCGGGAGGUCCCCAUCGUCAGUGAUGAUGGGUGCGGGAUCCUGCACAGCUGUGGAAACACGCAGAAGCACGCGGGUUUGGGUUUGAGAACGAAGUUUAGCAAGUUGACGGGCCUCAACACCAAGCGUGUGCUGCACAAGUUUUGCAUGUUCCUGAAAAGGUUUACCGUCACGGUCGGUCGCACAUCCUCCUGAAAACUCAGCAGAAAGGGCGCGGAUAAACCAGAAAAUCCGGUCAGCCUCCCAUAAGUCAGGAAUUGGUGCUAUGAGUGCCUCGAAACGACUAUGGUACGCGGCUACCGUUUCAUUCGCCCGCAUCUAAUGCUGCCCUGCAUCAAGUUUUUCUAGCGCCUCCAGUUUGCACAUUUGGAUCUGCGGGGCAAAACGAAUUAACAGUGCCUCCAAAAGUUGCUCUGAAGUAUAUUGCAACCGCGCGUUAGUCCAGUCAUCAUGCCAGGUUUUCACGGCGCCUUCAAGAGCAUUAGCUAAAAACAGGCAACGUAUACUGUCAUGGUUUCCGCCUCGCACGAAAUCAAAAUACUUCCGGACAUCACGGAUGAAGGCGCGGACACGUGGUGCAACUUCCCGCGAUAAGUCGCUUAGCUUAAUAUCGGCAGAGAUACUAAGCCUAUGUACUGGAAUAUUUAUCCUAAUCACCUCAUCACUGACCCCAGUGGGCAAAUCACGCUCGGUAGCGUCGUUGUUCCUUACAUCGCCGGCGGUCGUCCCGGUGGCGCGACCCGCGAUGUGUUCUACUGCAGGAAUCGGAACAGCAGAUGAGGGAUUAUUCAUACUUAUCAAUUGAUUAUUAUUAUUAUUAUUAUUAUUAUUAUUAUUAUUAUUAUUAUUAUUAUUAUUAUUAUUAUUAUUAUUAUUAUUAUUAUUGUUACACCGGUGUCCGCUCAACCUGGCGUGUGUUAAGGGGGGAACGCUCUGAGGUCUGCACCUAGUCAGUCCUAUAUGCUAUAUUCCCACCGCGUCACCUCUACGGGCCCUUUUCCACCCUAGAGUUCCACCUAUCGUUGGUGAGGACGCCACACUGUCGCUGUGGGACACGACCAGAGUCUGGUGCUCCUGUUACAACUUCAGGCCACGUGCAUGUCGCACCGCCACUUAUCAAUUGAUCAUUGUUACUCGGGGCAAUAGGCGGCGGCGGGACAGUUCCAAUGGUCAUAUCGAUAGCGGAGGCAAUCCCCAAUGACUUCGCCUAGUCUGCUCCAUUAAUGGAAUAUUCCAACUAUCCUGACCCAGAUCAGGCAGACCGCGUACCCAGGUUAAGAGAGCUGUCAAUUUUAUUGAAUGUCUGUUGCAGCACCGAACGGGUGCUACUGAGCCCUUGACAGAGCCUUCGGCAAAGGGC
rnacentral:lncRNA from 1 species